CCUUCAGGUUAGAUUAGGGUUUACUACUUGAUUAAUUUUUGUUUAUGAAAGUUUUAUUCUUUCUUCUUUGGUCACUUUUUCUUUUAUAUUAUAUACUAGUUUUGAAUACUAAAAGUUCUUUUUGCAGUGAUUAGAUUUAAUAAAUCAAAUUAUUUUGGAAUUAGUAAUUGAUUUAGUUUUGUGCCUAAUUCGUGCCAGCAGCCGCGGUUAUACGAUUAAUGCAAGUGAAUAUAUUUGGUUAAAACAGUUAUUUUUAUAUUUAGGAUUAAUUUAGAAAUUUAUAAGGUGAAAUUUUAAAAUUUUUUUAUAAUUCUUAUUUUAGGAUUCUGUGAAACUUAAAUAAUAAACUAGGAUUAGAUACCCUAUUAUUUUAAGUGUUAAUUUUGCUUACCUGGGUAGUAUUAGUUAGGAUCUUAAAACCCAAAGAAUUUGGCGGUAUUUCAUUCCAUUCAGAGGAACCUAUCCCAUGAUUGAUGGUACACAAUUUGUAAUACUUAUUUUAUAUGUUUGUAUAUCUCCGUUAUCAGAAAAUCUUUUAAGAGUUAUUAAAAUUUUCGUAAUUCUUAAUAUGAAUUAUUUCAGGUCAAGGUGGAAUUAUAGAUAAGACGUGUUGGGUUACAAUAAAUUUAAUUUACGGUUUUAUUUAUGUAAAUUUUUAAUUAAGAUGGAUUUGAUAGUAAUUUGUUUAACAUUUUUCUUUUGAUAUUAGCUCUAAAUUGUGUACACAUCGCCCGUCGCUCUCAUUAUUUUGUUUUGUUUGAUUAAUUUAUGUUAGGUGAGAUAAGUCGUAACAUAGUAGAUGUACUGGAAAGUGUAUCUAGUAAGAUU
rnacentral:ncRNA from 1 species